UACGGGGGGGGUAAGCGUUGUUCGGAAUUACUGGGCGUAAAGGGCUCGUAGGCGGCCAACUAAGUCAGACGUGAAAUCCCUCAGCUUAACCGGGGAACUGCGUCUGAUACUGGAUGGCUUGAGUUCGGGAGAGGGAUGCGGAAUUCCAGGUGUAGCGGUGAAAUGCGUAGAUAUCUGGAGGAACACCGGUGGCGAAGGCGGCAUCCUGGACCGACACUGACACUGAGGAGCGAAAGCCAGGGGAGCAAACGGG
rnacentral:rRNA from 1 species